UACAGAGGAGCCAAGCGUUGUCCGGAUUGACUGGGCGUAAAGCGCACGCAGGCGGAUGCGCGCGUGGGGUGUGAAAUCUGGCCGCUUAACGGCCAGGCGCCAUCCCAUACGGCGCGUCUGGAGUGAUGCAGAGGUCGAUGGAAUUGCCGGUGUAGUGGUGAAAUGCGUAGAGAUCGGCAGGAACACCCAGGGGGAAACCAGUCGACUGGGCAUCUACUGACGCUGAGGUGCGAGAGCGUGGGGAGCGGACCGG
rnacentral:rRNA from 1 species